GAGUUUCUUGUGUACGCAAGUCAUUGGGUGAUUAAAACCUAAAGGCAUAAUGAAAGUAAAUAGAUAUAAAUGGGGUAGAGAAGUGAUUCUUUUUCUUGUCUAUAUCUUUAUAGGGAAGAUGAAAAAUUAAUUUUAAUUCUUUUUCUUAAAAAGAAAGAUAAAAUUAAUUUUUCCGCAUUCCUAGGGCGCUUGUUACUCGCAUUGCGAGUUUAUGCGCACCCAGAGCGUACACGAUGAUACCCGAAAGAUGGUGAACUAUGCCUGGCCAGGACGAAGCCAGGGGAAACCCUGGUGGAGGUCCGCAGCGAUUCUGACGUGCAAAUCGAUCGUCAGAGCUGGGUAUAGGGGCGAAAGACCAAUCGAACCAUCUAGUAGCUGGUUCCCUCUGAAGUUUCCCUCAGGAUAGCUUGCGCUUGUAUUUAAUUUAAAUUAAUAAAAAAUUUUUUAAUUGAGUCUCAUCCGGUAGAGCGAAUGAUUAGAGGCAUUGGGGUCGAAACGACCUCAACCUAUUCUCAAACUCCAAAUAGAUGAGAACCCUGGCUUUCUUGAAUAA
rnacentral:rRNA from 1 species